UACCUACGGGGCGCAGCAGUGGGGGAUAUUGCACAAUGGGGGGAACCCUGAUGCAGCGACGCCGCGUGGGUGAAGGAGCGUUUCGGCGCGUAAAGCACUAUCGGCAGGGAAGAAGAUGACGGUACCUGACCAAGAAGCCCCGGCUAACUACGGGCCAGCAGCCGCGGUAAUAAGUAGGGGGCAAGCGUUAUCCGGAUUUACUGGGGGUAAAGGGGGCGCAGACGGCAAUGCAAGCCAGGAGUGAAAGCCCGGGGCCACACCCCGGGACUGCUCUUGGAACUGCAUGGCUGGAGGACAGGAGGGGG
rnacentral:rRNA from 1 species